AAAGUUUCAACAUAUACAAAAGAAGGGAAAUAACUAAUUAAUCAUAUCUUGCAUGCUGUUUCAUCCUUGUGAAGGCAGUAUGGCUUAAUGGUCAAGAUUGCACAAUCUGAAACUAAACUGCUCGGCUCACCUCAGUUGAGCAUUUUAUUGCCCUGGAAAAGAUUGUGGUUUUGUUGCAAGGAAGAAGAGAAGAAUGACAUUUUUGUGGGUAAGAGGCCAUUUAUUUUAUAUUCAAUGAUUAUCUCAAAAUAAUCUUUCUUAGAAGUUGACAAGCUGGAGUUAAAACUCUUAUAGACAAGAAAAUUGCCAAAGAAAAAAUGUUUAAUAAAAAAAGGGUAACACAUAUGUGUAUUUAGUGUCUGGCUAUUAAAGUAUUAGCAAGCAAUAGUAAUUAAAUGAGAAAUGCUUCAGUUAUAAACAUUUAUUAAUAUGACACAAUAUGGUCCAGAAAAAUUAUAAUUCUAAUGUGAACUAGAAGCCUUGACACUCCUUUUGGCUUGACUAAGAUAUUUUCCCGACUCUAAGCCCCUGUCCCUCCAUUUUUUGAGCGCUGGUUUUAGAAAACCUGUAAUGAUUUUUCAGCUACAUUGAGAUGUAAAUUGUCUCCAAAACUCUUGCCAUUUUUACAACCCAGGAAUGCCUUGGACCUUGGAAUUAUCCCUCUAAAAUGUAAUCUUUAAGAACAGUAGAGCCUGUAUCUUCCUCCGUCUGUGGGAAGAUAAGGACCUAACUUCAGUAAAUGUCAAUUAACAAGCACAUUGGCCUAAUUUCACUGGCCAACCCUCAUUUUAAUGUCCUCCAGUUAUUUUCUCACUAAGGCACUUCGGUGCUUAAAAACUCUCCUGCAUUUUUUUUUCCAGAAGAAUUGGGUUCUGUCUCCCAAUUAGGAUAGACUUGACUGCAACUGAAAUAGCCUUGAAGUCUUCCUUGCCUGCUUAACUCUCUCCUGCAAUUUCUCUUUGACAAAUGAAACUGUAUGUGAUGGCAGUGAUAUUACAAAGCUAUAAAAUUGUAUGAUUCUUUAUUCAUAAAAUUGCAUGAGAAGAUUGGGUAUCCAAUUGGAGAAAAUAUUUCUGUUUCACACUAAUUGCAAAAAUAAAAUCCAAGUAAGUUAAAAAUAUAAAUGCUAAAUAAAUUCAUGAAAUUAUAAAAAUGUAGGCUAAUGCAGUUAUUAUUUUAUUCAUAAAAAUAUAUUUUGUGUGCUUAAUUUGUUUAGGAGGUUAGUAUAAGCACUAGAAACUUAUAAGACAUAUUAUCCUUGCUGUCAUUAAAAAUAUGAAUCUAAAGAAAACUACCAAACCAAAUAUUUAAUACUUCUGUACUUAAAAAGAUGUUAUACAAAUAGAAUAAAUAUUACUGACAACCUAAAAGAAAAUAUAUCAUACACACAUGCUCACACACACACACACAUACACACCUAUGUAAGAAGGCAUUGCCUAUCAUGGUGGAUCAUGCUUGUAAACUCAACCAUUUGGAGGGUUGAGGCAGGAGGAUCACUUGAUGCCCAGAGUUUGAGAACACCCUGAGCAACAUAGCAAGGCCCCAUCUCUGCAAAAGAUAAAAAAGUGAGAUGGGAGUGGGGGUGUGCACCUGUAGUCCCAGUUACUCUGGAUGCUAAGCCAGGAGGAUCACUUGGGCCCAGGAGUUCAAAGACACUCAUCUC